rnacentral:rRNA from 1 species
UACCCUUGACAUGUCCGGAACCCUGCUGAGAGGUGGGGGUGCCCGAAAGGGAAUCGGAACACAGGUGCUGCAUGGCUGUCGUCAGCUCGUGUCGUGAGAUGUUGGGUUAAGUCCCGCAACGAGCGCAACCCUUGUCCCUAGUUGCUACGCAAGGGCACUCUAGGGAGACUGCCGGUGACAAACCGGAGGAAGGUGGGGAUGACGUCAAGUCCUCAUGGCCCUUAUGGGUAGGGCUUCACACGUCAUA